rnacentral:tRNA from 1 species
GGAGAGGUGGCCGAGUGGUUUAAGGCGCACGCCUGGAAAGUGUGUAUCCUGAGUGAAUCGGGAUCAAGGGUUCGAAUCCCUUCCUCUCCG